UUUUUUUUUGAGACCUAGACGUAGGAGAGAAAAAACGCGCGAGAGUUUUGUAAUCGUGAGCGACGUACAUUUUCUUUUUUCUCCAAUUAAAUUUAUUUUUUUUUUUAUUUCUCUUUCUUUUUCGAACCUAUUAAAGUUCUCACUUAGAAGAAAUUGAAACGAGAAUAAGAGUGUAUAAUAUAUAUUUAUCCGAAGGUUAUAUCUUUAAAAUGAUUAAAUUAGAUAGAAACGAGUCGGAAUUUCUCAUCCUAGCAGUAUCUUUUAUUAUUCAUUUUUGUUUUACGACCGGCCGCAAAAGGUCUUCUCGUUAAUAGUAAUGUGACUACAAACGAGAUUACGGAAAGUUAAUUAUAGUAUCGUAAAGGUAAACGUUCAAAUGUGGAAGUAAGUAAAAGUAAUAGUAAUAGUGUUAGUUACUAAUAAUGACUUUUUCCAAUUACUAUUCGUCUUCUUUGAAGGUAAAGGAAAAAGGACUAAAGAAAGAAAGAAAAAAAAAAAAAAACAGAAAAAAAAGAGAACGAAGUAGAAAAGCAACGCGUUCGAGAAUACUUAUACACGGUGCAUCUUCAGGAGCUAGCUGAAAAGGAGAGAAAAGAGUAAAGGAAGGAAGAGUAGGAACAGGAUCGGAGGAUAGUCCCGUAUAAGAUGGCUUCAUCAAUCUUCGGCAAGGGGAUGACGGUAACACCCGGAGGAGGAAACGUUCUCGCGGUUCUUUAUCCACGAAACCUUCCCUAGUAUGCAUUACGCUAAUGCUAACGCAAGCUCUGUCUACGUAGAUGAAAUACAGCCAGAACGUUCACUGCCAUCUCAAGUA